rnacentral:rRNA from 1 species
AAUCCGGCUGGACCACCAGCCAAGGCUAAAUAUAAUAUACGAUCGAUAGUGAACAAGUACAGUGAUGGAAAGGUGAAAAGAACCCCGGGAGGGGAGUGAAAUAGAUCCUGAAAUUGUGUGCCUACAAGGAGUCGGAGCCGGCUUGUCCGGUGACGGCGUGCUUUUUGUAGAACGAUCCAGCGAGUUAAUUUCGUGCGCAAGGUUAAGCCAGUUGGCGGAGCCACAGUGAAAGCGAGCCUGAAUAGGGCGAUUAAGUGUACGGGAUUAGACCCGAAACCGGGUGACCUAACCAUGAGCAGGUUGAAGCCACUGUAACAGGUGGUGGAGGACCGAACCAGGAUACGCAGCAAAGUGUUUGGAUGACUUGUGGUUAGCGGUGAAAUGCCAAUCGAACUCGGAGAUAGCUGGUUCUCCUCGAAACAGUUUUAGGACUGGCGUCAUGUGGUAGCAGUCGGGGGUAGAGCUCUGUAAAGGACUGGGGCUGGCAACGGUACCCACCCUUAACAAACUACGAAUACCGACUGUGGAAUCAUGGCAGUUAGAACGGCGGAGCUAAGUUCGUCGCUCAAAAGGGAAACAGCCCAGACCAUCGUCUAAGGUCCCUAAAUUUACGUUAAGUGGGAAACAAGGUGAGAUUUCUUAAACAGCUAGGAUGUUGGCUUAGAAGCAGCCAUUCAUUUAAAGAGUGCGUAACAGCUCACUAGUCAAGAGAUCUUGCGUGGAAAAUGUAACGGGGCUAAACGUAAUACCGAAGACAUGGAUUGUAUGCUUUGCAUACAGUGGUAGAGGAGCGUUCCUAUCAGCAGUGAAGCAGUAUUGUAAAGUAUUGUGGAGCGGUAGGAAGUGAGAAUGCUGGAAUGAGUAACCAUAAGAGAGGUGAGAAUCCUCUCGGCCGUAAGAGCAAGGUUUCCUGAGCCAUGGUAAUCAUCUCAGGGUUAGUCGGGCCUAAGCCGAGGCGCAUAGCGUAGGCGAUGGACAUCAGGUUGAUAUUCCUGAACCGGCGUAGUUUGUACACUGUUCACGGAGAGAUAUUCAGAGCGGAUUCAUGGUUUAUCCGUCCAACCGAGCGGGAACGCAAAGGGAGUGAAAGUUACUCUGCGGAGUGAUGAUUCUGGAAAAGGCUCUGGCUAGAAAAGCAGGUGUACGCGUGGCUAUGUCUGCCCGUACCGCAAACCAACACAGGUGCUCGAGUCGAGUAGACUCAGGCUUACGAGUGAACCUUCGCUAAGGAACUCGGCAAUACAGCGACCGUAACUUCGGAAUAAGGUCUGCCCCCACUUCGGUGGAUAUGUUGUCAGUUUCAUAGCUCUAUAAGGUGUGGUUAAAGAGUAUCUUUAAUACAUCAAUUCUUCUUGAGAUAGAACCAAGCUUUGGAACUGAAGCUCAACACAUCUAGCGAUGUGGGGGCCGCAGCAAAAGAGCCCACGGAACUGUUUAUCAAAAACACAGCUCUCUGCUAACACGAAAGUGGAUGUAUAGGGGGUGACUCCUGCCCGGUGCUGGAAGGUUAAGGGGAGUGCUUUACGGUGCGAACUGAAGCCCCAGUGAACGGCGGCGGUAACUAUAACCGUCCUAAGGUAGCGAAAUUCCUUGUCAGGUAAGUUCUGACCCGCACGAAUGGAGUAAUCAUGUGGGCACUGUCUCAGCGAAGGACUCGGUGAAAGUGCAUUGGCGGUAAAGAUGCCGUCUGUCCAUACCAGGACGAGAAGACCCCAUGGAGCUUUACUACAGCUUUACAUUGAUCCGGGUUUCAACAUGUGUAGCAUAGUUGGGAGACUGCGAAGCAGAUACGCUAGUAUUUGUGGAGUCGCAAUGUGAAAUACCAACCUUGUUGUGAUCUUGAUCUCACUUGUGCCGUUAUCCGGUAUGAGGACCGUGUAUGGUGGGUAGUUUAACUGGGGCGGUUGCCUCCUAAAGAGUAGCGGAGGCGUUCAAAGGUUGGCUAACUUCGGAUGGAAAUCGAAGUGAUAGUGUAUGCGCACAAGCCAGCUUGACUGUGAGGAGUACAUUCCAAUCAGAGACGAAAGUCGGAGCAAGUGACCCGCUGUACGAACAUUUGUUCAUUGAAUGUGGGAUCGACAGCGCACACGGAUAAAAGUUACCCUGGGGAUAACAGGCUUAUAGCGCCCAAUAGUUCACAUAGACGGCGCUGUUUGGCACCUCGAUGUCGGCUCAUCACAUCCUGGAGGGGGAGCACCUUCCAAGGGUUCGGCUGUUCGCCGAUUAAAGUGGUACGCGAGCUGGGUUCAGAACGUCGUGAGACAGUUCGGUUUAUAUCCGGUAUGGACGUCAGGAAAUUUGAGAGGAUCUGCCCCUAGUACGAGAGGACCGGGGUGGACGCACCGCUGGUGUACGGAUUGUGGCCACCUGCUGCAUUGUCCGGUAGCUAUGUGCGGACCAGAUAAGCGCUGAAAGCAUAUUAAGCGCGAAACUGACCUCAAGAUUAGAUUUCCCUAUGAGG